GGUUUGAUAAUUUUUAAAAGGCAGGUAUUUUUUUGAAAUCUAAAAAAAAUAAUUAAAAUGUUUUUCCCUUAGUUUCUCAUUAUUUGUAGGCC